UCUGUGUCACUAUGCGCGCGUUUUCCACGUUUUCCCGCUAACUCGCCAUUAGGGGUGGCUCGGUAACUGUUAGGUUAGGCAUCAAAAUCACCGCUUUGCGCAUUUUCGCACUUAUAUUUAGGUGUGAUAAUACAGGAAAUUAGAGUGAAAUCAGUCACACUAAAACUGCCUGAACUGCAUCAUUUCAGUGGUAGUGUACAACGUAUGAUAAAACAAGAGUACGAACGAAUGAAUUUAUCAAAUAAUUUAUUAUUUUCAAAAGAAUUUUUACCUUAUCUCAUAUGGGUUCAUCAUCAGGAUCACUCGUGUGUCUAUCAGUCCGUCUGUCACAGCCAAUUUGCUCCGAAACUACUGGACCAAAUCAGAUUAAAUUUGGUUCACGCAUUCGCGGCGCCAUGUCUCUGAGUUCCGCGACAGUAUGGAGUUGGCCCCUUGAUCUCCAAAACUACUGAGUCUAAAAUUUUAUAUAGAAAACCUAUAAGAAUUUACGAGAAUAAAAAAUACGAAAAUUAAGGUAUGCAAUUCACGA